ensembl:lincRNA linc-83 ncRNA
UUAUUUCGUGGGCUUUUGAUGAUUUAGUCAGAUGUUGGUUACUAUUCAACUAAAUUGAAACUGAAAGAGUUUGGACAUUAUUUCCAAGGCUUCGAACCGAGAUGUACCACAUGUGCACUCUUCGAAUAAUGCAUUUUUCAACGCUUAAAAUACAUUUGACUCCAAGAAAAUACUCCCAAUUAUAAAGUGUAAAUGACUUCGCACAAGGAACUUGUAAGGAUCAUGCUUUACAAAUGUUUUUAUUUGCUCAAAGAUUUAGAUGUGUUGUAUUAUAAUAUUCGGUCUUUAUCAACAUUAUAUACUUUCAAAUAAAAUUCACAAUAAAUUGCCCUCCGUCUGUUUUUUAAGGGACUUCAUACAACUUCCUCACUUUUCAUAUUUUUGUUUUUUUCCGCUUUCUAAUUCAUUAAAGUUUUCCAAGUUU